rnacentral:lncRNA from 1 species
GUCUUAGAGAUUUUGCCAUCUGAAGAGAUCCGGGACUAUGUACUUGGCUUGCCUUCAGGAAAAGGGUGACAUAAAAGAAGAAAUGUCCUCCUUGUAUUCAUUCCUGAAUUGCUUCUUUACAGGUGGAGUCCCUUGUACAUGAAUCAGAAGCAUCACACUUUUUUGGCUUAGGCUCUGCCCAAGCCCAAAGCUUUCUGCCCCUGCCUCCCAGAGUCUCAUACAACCCUGGGCUGCAGCCUGUGUGUCUCACUGAGAUCCACAGCCUUUGCUUCAUCUUAAAGCGCAAAUGAGGCUGAGACAUGUAAAGGAAAGCUUUUGGUGAGAAGCUGAGACCACAGAAGCCGAUGAGGAUUUGCUGCUGCAACCUGCCCUGGCUGGAGCUUCUGAAGCCAAACUCACCAGAACAGGAUGGUCAAUGGGAGGACAUUGGGUUAUGUCAAUAUCCUACUGUGAAAGAGACCAUGAGAGUGAACAACUUACUCUCUAUGAGGCAACUGAUCAUUUGCUUCAGUUUGAAUUGUCUAACUUUGGGGGAAAGAAUAACAUGAAUAUGCUGAUGUGAUAUGGUCAAUUCAGUAUUAACAAGGAAGCAUUCAGAGGGUGAUUGAUGUAUUUGAUAAGUGGUGAAUCUUAAUUCCAAUAUAUGAAGACUCUCUUAUGUUAUUUCUAUAUUGGCUUUUCUUAACAAGAACACUUAUUUAAGCUAUUUGGUUGUGAAUAUAAUUUACGUCUAGAUACAGUAUCUGAAAAAUGAGGAAUGGAUCUACAUCCUAUUUUGGUGAUCCCAGCCUGAUACUUGGUGAACUAAGUGGAUACUGAGGCAGAUGUUUCUGCUUUAGUGGCUCAGUCUGCAUCCCGCCAAACCCAGCCAGAGCUUCAGAGCAACUGACAAUGAUGGGUAGAGUGAAAGGGACACCCCCUCUCAUUUUUAGAUGAAUUGUGUCUCCCCAGACCUGGGAAUGAAGCAGCAAUAAUAUUUGUAAAAUAAUUUACCUCCAGUAAGAUAAGGAAAUCUGUGAGCCUAAGCAAUAUCGGUGAAGAGGAGGUUUUGUGACAGACAGACAUUUUAGAGAUCAUUGUAAGAUGAGCCAGAGACUCCCUAAGCCAAUGAGUGAUAUGAGAGGCUUUCUCUUGGGCAAUGCUGAUUACGGUAUAACACUCUUUUCCAUUCUUUUUUAUAAUUUUUGUUAAUGCCUUAUGUAGUUUAUUAAGUUCAGUAAUUUUUAAAAUAUUAAAUUCUUGGGACUGAGGAUGUAGCUCAUUAGAAGAGCUUGAUUAAUAUGUUUGAGUCCCUGGGUUUGAUUAACAUGCUUGAAUGCCUAGAUUUGAUCCCCAGCAAUGUAAACAAAUAAAUAUGUGUGCUUGAGGUGACAAGGAGUCUUUGAGGAGAAUUAAUGGCAAUGUGUUUUUACUAUAAUAAUUUAAAAAAAUUUUUUUAAUAUUCACCGUAUAUUUUGAUCAUCCCUUGUAUGAUAGAUGGAUGUCAUUUGCAUGAAUGGAU